UUGCACAAAGGUGUGGAAAAGAGAGAACUUGGCACAUUCCAGGAAUUGCCAGUAGCUCCAUAUAGAGUGGAAAGAGUGUGAACCAAGAUCUAACUGACUCACUGCCAAAUAACAUGGUUUCUGGGGCACAUGAGUGAGGCCCAGAGAUACCCUCUAGGAGGUAUUCAUCAUCUUCUUUGCACUGUGGCUGUCUUUGGUGAGCACACAGGAUCCUUCUCAGAAUUAUGCCUUUAAAAGCAUAAAAUAAAAUAUAUAGGAUCAAAGUAUCAUCAAAAUACUUUUUAAAUGCAAUCUGUAGUAACAUAUGUGCCUUUUUAUCAAUGUAUUAUAUGACAAGAUCUUGUGGUAGGAAGUAAUUGAUGAGCAAAAAUUAUUUUUCAAAGUAUUAAAACAUCUGUAAUAUAGUAUGAAAACAUCUAUGAUUCCUAUUAGUGACAAAUCCAAGGUGUGGCUAAUUCUGCCAUGGUUUGUUACCUGCUUUCAUAAUGAAAGGAAAUGCUCAAUUUCAGUUAAAGUUUAGUGAAAAGGAAGAUGCAACUUUUUCCCAUCCAAGGUCAUGGACCCUCUGACUUUUCCCACACUCUCCUGCUUUACACAAAGACCCAGCUUUGUGCCUACAGCCCAGUGGUUAAGAGCAUCCAAGCCAGACCUGUUUGCUCAGUUACUGCUGCAGUACUUGGGGCAAGACACUCAGCCUUCCAGUGCCUCUGUUUCUUCAUAACUGUGAAGACCAAAUGAGUUAAUACACACAAAGCAGUUAGAAUAAUGCCUGCCACAUAGUAGGUGCUCACUAAAGAAGGACAAGCUGUUUUCUUUCUUAUUCUCAGCCCCAAAUACAAUGGAGAGAGAAGCCCACAGAUGUGGGGCAUUAUUUACUAACCAGAGUCGUGCUAAUAAGCUCACAAAGCACAAUUAGCAGUCAUUUCAAUUCUGAGGUUUGCUUGACUAUAAAAGCUUCACAUUUCUUCCUCCCUGAUUUCUCUGCUAAUUACAACUGCCGCCGUCCAUCGCAGCUGCCACACAACAUGGGUGCUGACUGCCUCUAACGUAGUUGUUAAGGCGGCAUAAUGGGGCACAAUGACUAAUUGGCCAUCAUGCCCAGGAUGAAUGCGUCAGACAACAGCGGCUGGCCAGUUCCUGGCCUUGGGACCCCGAGCUGCACAGCCCCAGCACUCUCCCAGUGCACCCCUCCUCCACCUUCCCAAGCUGCCUGAUGGGACCAGCCAAUGAAAGGGUGCAGGGACAGCCACCUUGCAGUUAGCUGAGGUCACGUGACAGCUCUGACCAAUGGGCUGUGGGCAGAAGCAACAAGCACCAUUUCCGGGCUGAAGCAUGGAGAAGCAGAGAAGCAUGUGAUCUCCCCGCAGUCUCUUCCGGUCUUGCGACCCAGAAGGCCUUGUGGUGACAUGGUGGAACUGAGCUGAGCUGGAAGCAGCCCAGGUUGCCAAAUUGUCACUUGGAAGACACCCCUGGCAACCUUUGUAGAGCAGCAAAAUUUCACCCAAGGGGAUCUCCCAUUCCUCUUUCCUGGAAGAGACUCCAGGGUAAGCAAAAAAUAGAUCCCAUCUCACCUCUACAGGGUGUGAGAAUCCUACAGAACUCUUGGUGCAUUUUGUAAAACCACAAACUUCUUGAGUUUGGAAAGAAUUCUGGAGUCUUUCAGUCCUAAGUCACAGACCCCAGCAUUGAUUAUGGAGUCUACAGCAGCACAGAAUUCCAGAGUCACAGAAAUCAAAGCUCCAGGACAGUCCUGGAAAGAAACAGGAGAGCGUGGCCACCCAUCUGCCCAGCCACCAAGGCCUAACCCACCAGCGGGGCUAUAUUGGCUUCUUCUUGGGGACGCCCAGUACAGCAGGCCCCCUGGUCCUCCCUCCCCAGGCCUGUGUCUCACGUCCCCACAGUGGGAUUGCAAGCAAGCUGUCCCCAUGCAGCAGAUAAAUAAAUAAAUAAAUAAAGAGCAUGACUUUGUGUUUGAAGGACGAAUGCCAAGU
rnacentral:lncRNA from 1 species